rnacentral:lncRNA from 1 species
AUGAUUUGAAGUUAGUGGGUCUACUGGUGUGUAAUUUGUGAAACUUCUUAGUUUCUCUAUCUUCACUUCAAACGUAACUAUUUCUCUCUGUGUGUAUGUGUGUACAUUCAGUACUUGUUGAGUUAGCUUUUUUUCUCUUUAUUCUCCACAAUUCCUACAGUCCAACUACUUGACUCUGUUAAUCUGUUUUCUUUUCCACCUUUGUUUCACAAGUCUCUUGGGUAUUGUGUAAUUGGACGUUUUUACAUAAUCUUCAAUGUUCAGGCUUAUAUAUUUAGAAUUGCCAAAGGAGGAAUUUUCAGUAAUUCUUAUUUAGUCACAUUGCUUCAAAUUACUCAUGCAUUAUCUCUUACCUUUGAGAUUUUGAUGAGGUAACUAUUAAUUUUCUGAAUAAUAUGGUAGGAUUGGUGUGAGAGGCCACAUCUGGCCAGUUUGACCAUAAAGCAGGUUGAAUAUUUUUGGCUGGAUAUGGCUGGUUUAACUGCUAAAGGGUUAAAUCCAGUUCUACUAAUCAAAAAGGUGAUAGUUACUGCUUUUACAUGGUAAACUCUACUUAUUUGAGUCAGUUAUGUGUCAUAGAAAUUAAUGACUAGCUCUGGCUGAAAAUUCAUAAGACGGUUCAUAUUUAAGAGAUUUGUCAUAACCUCUCAUUUUAAAAAUCUUUUCAAGGUUUUUCUUAAGUUUUCAUACAUUUAAACUGUUUUGUGAGUAAAAACUGUUAGAAUCCUGAUACAAAUUUCAAAUCAGUGACUAAUAUUAAUUCCCUCAGUUGCUUGUAUGUGAAUUUGCUGAUUGAUAAAUUGCCACUGGAACUGCCUGUCGUCUCUCAGCUACUUAAUUAGGGUUGAUGGCUGUUGGUUUAGUGGCCCCAGUCAAGAGAGAGGAGUUGCGUAGUUAUCUUAAUAUUGGCACUAUUUUCUCUGUUUGCUAAACCUCAUCUGAACUUAAUAUAACGUCUGGUUGUCGCUAAUAUAUAUAUAUAUAUAUAUGUGGCUCAGCUUCUCAAGUUGACAGUAAAUGUCCAUCAAACAAUUCACAAUUCAUUCUAUCAUCGUUGCAGCUGUUAAUUUGACCCUGGAUAUAACAUAGCUUCAUUUCUAAUUGUUGUCACUGGAAAGAAAAUGUAAGAGGAAAAAGAAAAUUGUAAUUUCAUUAUCAGUGAUAUCGCUACUUUCAUCAUUGUGUAUGUAGGUGCGGGUGUGGCUGUGUGAUAAGAAGCUUCCUUCCCAACCACAUGGUUCUGGGUUCAGUCCCAUUGCAUGGCACCUUGGGCUGACCAAAGCUUUGUGAGUGGAUUUGGUAGAUUGAAACUCAAAGAAGCCCAUUGUAUGUGUGUGUGUGUGUAUAUAUAUAUAUAUGCAUAAUGUCCUUGUUUGUCCCUCACCAUUUCUUCACUAGUGUUGGUGUGUUUACAUCCCUGUAAAUUAGUUGGCAACACAGAAUAAGUACCAGGCUUUAAAAAUAAGUUUCUGAUCAAUUUAUUUGAUUGAAAUUUCUUAAAGAUGGUAAACACACACACUGUAGUUACUGAUCAUUUCUAUUUUAAUAUCCAUCUUUUGAAGCUGUCAGACAUGACAUUCACUUCAAAGAAUGUUGCCAUUCAUUUCAACCUUAUUUCGCCUGCCAGGCCUAAGAACACUUUUUCCCUGUUUAUUCUUGAAAUUGUUCAUUUCAUUGUUGUGGCAUCAUACAUGUGCACAUUCACAAAGAAUUUGUACAGCUUACUCAUUGUCCAUGAAUAGGAAUUGACUCUUAAAGGUUUUCUCUUGGAAUUAGCACUUAUCCCAAAUUCUGGUCAAAUUUUAACUGCAUUUGUGUCUUACAUUUUGUUCUUUUCAUAACUUUUACAAGUUGAUUCUUGCCAUCUUUCCCUGCUGUGAAUCUUACAAAACUUGCAGUAAUCAGUAAUACUUCACAUAAAAUAUCUCAACCAGUUAACAUUCUAACAACUUCACAGUUCUUUAUUUUGGAAACUGGUACAAUUGCUUGAGGGUUAGACAAUAUUUACCGUUCAUCAGCGGUAUCAAAUCAAAUUGAAAUUGUAGUUGUGAGCCCCAUGCCAAAAGCACAUAAAAGGCACCAUCCGAAUGUGGCCGAUGCCAGUGCUACUUUGACUGGCUUCCAUGCCGGUGGCAUGUAAAAAGCACUCGCUACACUCUUGGUGUGGUUGGCGUUAGGAAGGGCAUCCAGGUGUUGAAACACUACCAGAUCAGAUUGGGGCCUGGUGCAGCCUCCUGGCUUUCCAGACCCCAGUCGAACCGUCCAACCCAUGCCAGCAUGGGAAACUAGCAUUAAACGAUGAUGAUGAUUGGCUAAUAUUGGUUUGUAUUGUCACCAUACUGACAACACUAGAGAAGAUUUUAGAUUUUCUGUGUUCUGUUCUAAUUUUGCAGUGUUUAAUGUUGUAGGGGAAUAAUUUUUGUUUUUCUUUGGUCAUAAUAUGAAGAAUUUUGAAGUAAUUAAUGGUGAGAAAGAAACCUUGUUUGAAGAUGGAGAGUAGGUGCAAGCAGAGAAUUUCAGGUAGCAUAAGGAUUGAUGGGUGACAGCUUGUGUGAGAUAUGGUUAUUACAAUAAUGUAAAUUUGAGCUGAUUUUUAACUUGAUUUGAGCAAAAUUUGAUCAUUUAAUGUCCGUUGUCCAUGCUAGCAUGGGUUGGACAGUAUGACUGGGCUGGCAUGUGGAAGGCUGCACCAGACACCAGUCUGAUUUGGCAUGGUUUUCUACUGCUAGAUGCCCUUCUUAAUGCCAACUGCUCCGAGAGUGUAACCGGUGCUUUUACGUACCAUUUCUGUGACACUGGGGUGUGUUUACAUGACAAUUUGUGUGGCACCAGUAUCAGCCACAACUGAUUUUGCUUGGCUCGAUGGGUCUUCUCAAGCACGACAUAAUGCCAAAGGUCUCGGUCAUUGCCUCUGUGAGUCCCAACACUCAAAAGGAACUCAGCCACUUAGCCUCUGUGAGGCCCAAUGCUUGAAAGGAAAUUGCUAGAAAUACUUAAUUCUACAUGGUUUGGGAAUGAAUUCAAACUUUUUUUUUUUAAAACAACAUUUAUGAUGACAUUAUUAAGGUCGUCUUUCGAACAUGAAAUUUUAAUGGAUGGUUUUAAUUUAUUGUACUUUAAAAUGGGGGUUUUGUAUCAAAGGACCAAGGGUAAUCUCAAAAAGGUCAAUGUUAGUAACGAGAUGGAGAAUGAUGGGAUUCUAGUUUUUGGUUGUUGUAUGAAAAUCGAUUCUAAUAUAAGUUAAGUGAAUCAGUCUGGUUCUAAGUAAUCAGGUAAGUAAAUAUUCUGUGAAAUCUUGAAUCUAUUUUCAAUUUUCUUGCAUUGGUUGUUUUGAUAUGGAAAGGAUUUGGUCAGAGCAAGUUUAGCUUGUGAGAAAAGUGCCUUGCUGUAUAUUGUAUAUUAACUAGUGACUUUUAUACAGUUUAGUAUUUGAUAUCAUCACAUUAAAUGUAAACAGUGUUAAGUUAGCUAAAUGUUCUAAUUGCUGAGAGUUAAACUUUAACAAAGAAGUUUUUGUUUCACACAGGAUUUGAACCGACUAACCCUAACUUUAGCCACUGCUCGAAACUUUUUGAGUUUGCUAGUGGCAUGUGUAAAAAGAUUCGAGUGAGGUCAUUGCCAGUACCACCUGAAUGGCCCUGUGCCGGUGACACGUAAAAAGCACCUACUACACUCUCGGAGUGGUUGGCGUUAGGAAGGGCAUCCAGCUGUAGAAACUCUGCCAGAUCAGAUUGGAGCCUGGUGCGGCCAUCUGGUUCGCCAGCCCUCAGUCAAAAUCGACCAACCCAUGCUAGCAUGGAAGGCGGACAUUAAACGAUGAUGAUGAUGUAGACUGAGCCAGUGACAUGUGUACAAUUAAUGUUAGUAGUUAACAUAGCCAUACUUAAUGAGAGGAGUAGGAUUAUCGUUUGAGGUUAGCAAUAAAUGCUAUGAAUCUGGUGAGUGUUUAUUGUAAAUUAGUAUCACAAGAUCUUUUAUCUCUAGAAGCCUUAUUCAGUUAAAUAACUGAACAGCCUCAUCAAGAGUGUGUAGCCUAAUGGGUAGGGUGUUGCACUUGUGACCCCAAGGCUGGUUUUGAUUCCUGGUUCAGGUAAUGUUCUGGAACGAAAACACUUCAUGUUGCUUCAGGUCCACUGUUGUGACCUUGGCUGCUUAUAGGCCAUGCAAAACUGGGUAACUGGCCUUCGAGUCGAGGGCUUAAGACUGUCAUGUCUAGCACAUCUACACAAUUGGUGGGAUGAUAUAUAUGCGAUAACUUCUUGUUCCCCUUUGCCAUCUUAUAGGCAUUGCUCUGUCCAAAAUCAUUAAAGACGUGGGAAUUAAGGGUGAAAAAUAAAGAGAACUGCUCUGUAAUGAUUGCUUCUGGUCCUUCAGAUUAACAAAAGGAAGAUAUUCUUUACAAAUGUAUUGGUAUUGUUAUGUCCUCAUUAAUUUAGCAUUUCUUCAGUAAUUAGAAUAACUUGAAUAAAACAAUUUUGUAUGAAGGGGUGACAGGUAGUCCAGUGAUGGUCAGUUGAAGAACUAACACCUUUGAUGGAUUCAAUCAGAAAUUUCCUGACAGCAUUAGUGAAUUCUUUGGGUCUUAGUUGAACUGUUUCUUUUUUCUUGAGCCCUGAUACUUGUAACGUUGGUUUCUGUGGCAGAAGUGAUUUGUGAUCACAGCAUUUCAAAUGAAAGGGAUAUCAUUCCAUUGCAAGAUUCAAUGGUGGUGUUGGGGGGCAAGUUGAUCAACAAGUCCAGUACUUGACUGGUACUUUAUUUUCAUGGUCCCAAAUGGGUGGGAAGUAAAAAUCGACAGGAUUGGGGUUCAGAACAUACCUAUUUCUUUACUACCCACAAGGGGCUAAACACGGGGGACAGACAAACGGAUUAAGUCGAUUACAUCGACUCCAAUGUGUAACUGGUACUUAAUUUAUCAAGGAUGAAAGGCGAAGUCGACCUCAGUGGAAUUUGAACUCAGAGCGCAGCAGUGGACAAAAUACCCCUAAGCAGUUCGCUUGGCGUGCUAACGUUUCUGCCAGCUCACCGCCUCAGAACAUACCACUAACCAUUUUGUUUGCCCUUAGUAGAACAACUGACUAUGAACUUUAUAUAUAUAUAUAAAUUGAUAUGUGGAAAUUGACGAUUUAAAGUCAGCAUAUUGGCAUAGAAAUAAUUUUUCUUUUGCCCUUGUUUAUAAUUUUAACCGUUAAAGGUAUUUUAAUAUGCUACAAUUUUUUUGAUGAAUUUUUUUCUGAAAAAAUUUCAUCCUAUAUUAGUAUAUAUAUAUAUAUAUAUAUAAAUUUCUCAGAGCUACAAAGCUGUUCAUACAAACUUAUCAUUUCCCGUAAUUAAAAUAUUGUAAUGGGAAGCAACUAAGGGAGAUAACUGGAUUUAUUUUGGUAAAAUUUUAGAAAUUCAUUGAAACCAACUUCCGGAAGAUAAUUGUUAGCAAUUCUAUUCAGAGGGAAGAAGAGGUGCGGAACUUUUUAAAUGGAAAUAAGAUUUGUUCAUUAAAGUAUUUUGUCUGAGCAAUCUUGUACUUUAAUAGAAUCUCUGUGUCUUUCCGUUAGAUGAGUGACAGAUGUCGGGCUUUAUAAAUGACAAGUUGGGCGAAUUGUAUUCGCUUCGUAUUUAUUGUUGGUUAAUCUCAGGUCACGCUGAUUGUGAUUUAUAAAGAAUGACCUUUCAAUUGUGACCAUGACUGUCGGCUAUUUUUAUCUAGCAGUCAAGUACAUUCCAUAAUCUGUACUUCCUGUUUUACGACAGUCAAGUGGAAUCUGAGGGAAUGGAGGUGUGACUACUAACUAUUUCUUGCAGGUUGAUAGAUAAAACCGUUCAGGUCUUCCUGUUUGACAAAAAAAUAUUGUCGUGAUUAAGGUCUCGGUUUACUAAGCAUAAUGCACCUAGGACUACAUUACCAAAUAUAUUUUCCUUAAGACCGAAGGGUGUGAUUUGAGGGACACUUAGGUGCUAUGUCUGCCUUGAGACUCCGUCGCUUCUGCAGUUCUUUGCGUGAAGUACAAAACGUUUGUUUCCCACAUCUUGCAGAAGUAAGUGAACCGAUUAUCGUUCUGAGAGCGAAUCUAUAUUCUAUAGAAAUAUAUAGUUACGAGGAUGCUAUACAAUAUUUAUAUAUAUAUAUAUAUAUAUAUAUAUAUAUAUCCUUUUGUACACCCCCACCCACCCCUUGAAAAAAAAAUUUUUUUUCUGCAGAAACCUCGCUUUUCAGCUCCGGAGAAUACGAAUCUGCAAAAGAAAAUUGGCAAAAAUCGGCAUUUUGAACUCCCCCCGCCCUUCCCCCGAUAUUUUUCUUUCUCAAAAUAUGCGGGAAAAUACGGAGAUUAUGAUUUUGAAAAGGAAUUUCCAAAAAUGUUUAUAGUUAGGGUUAGGGGGGAAAAAAGUAAAAAAUGAAGAAAUGGUGUGUGUGGAGGUGGGGGGAAUGCCGAUUUUUGGCAGUUUUCCGGAAUCUCCGUAUCCGAAAAUGGGGGGGGGGGUGAAUGGGGGAACGGGAUGAAGUCUUCCCACAUCUAUACACACACAUCUAUAAUAUAUAUAUUAUAUGUAAUAGAUGUAGAGUGAUGUUAUAUAAUGAGAUGUCGAUAAGCGAAACUAAGAAUCUCAAAACAACGUAAUUCUAUAUUGUGAGGUUUAAAGGUUAAACUGAAUUUGGCCGUUGUUUAGCGCUAGGGAGACUUUGAUCGAGUAGUGACCCUUGAUUUAGGCAUAUUAAAUUUUACUUUUACUUGUUUGUCAUUAGACUGUGGCACCAAUUUGGGGAAUUUUAGUCGAACGAAUCGAUCCCAGGACUUAUUCGUUUUCAAGUCUGGUGUUUAUUCGAUCGGUCUCUUUUGCCGAACCUCUAAUUAUGGGGACAUAAGCAAACCAACACCUUGUGGUGGGAGGGAACAUAUCGGCGGCGGAGGUAAAGAAUACGUACACCACUGGUUUUCGGCGUAACAAAAACCCUACCCACCAGGUGUAAGUAAUCUUUACCUUCGCCCACAUAUCUAUAUACGAGAGGCUUCUUUCAGUUUCCGUCUACCAAAUCUAUUCACAAAGCUAUGGUUGGUCCAAGGCUAUAAUAGAAGACACUUGUUUAAGGUGUCACCAAACACGGAACCAUCAUCAUCAUCGUUUAACGUCUGCUUUCCAUGCUAGCAUGGGUUGGACGAUUUUACUGAUGGCUGCACCAGGCCUCCAAUCUUGAUCUGGCAGAGUUUCUACAGCUCGAUGCCCUUCCUAACGCCAACCACUCAGAGAGUGUAGUGGGUGUUUUUACGGGUGCCAGUCAGGCGGUACUGGCAACAACCUCACUUGAAUCUUUUUACACAUGCCACUGGCACAGGUGCCAGUAAGGCGACGUUGGUAACGAUCACGCUCGAAUGGUGCUUUUUUUACGUACCACCGGCACGGAAGCCAGUUAGCCGCUCUGGCAACGAUCACACUCGGAUGGUGCUCUUGGCACCCUACUAGCACGGGCACAGGUGCCAGUAAGGCGACGCUGGUAACGAUCACACUUGAAUGGUGCCCUUUUAUGUGCCAUUGGCAUGGAAGCUGGUUAGCUGCUCUGUCAACGAUCACACUCAUAUGGUGCUCUUUGCACCAUGUGGUUGAGAAUCCAAUCUGCCAUAUUUUUCCUUAAAGAUCUGAGCAUUUGGUUAGAAAAUGAUUUGGAUAUCAUUUCAAUCAGUUCAACCAACUUAGAUUUAUGGUAUGAAGAGGAAACCCAAAGUGAUGAAUAUCUGAUUCACAAAAACGAAUUUCAUUAUUAAACUAAAAUACCUCUUGUCUGUCAUGUUGGGUUUCUACUGAAAUUCUUGCUAAUUGACUCAAUCAUAAACAUAAAUGGAUUUGGUAAGGAGAAAGAAAAGGCCAACUUUUUAUCUUUCUAGGAUUGAUCAAGCUACGACCCUUCUCAAUACGUCUGGUUUUGUGCCUUUGUAAGAAAGCAUUGUCGUUAUUGGUGAUGAGGUAGAAGAAUUGGCAGAUAGUCACACUAAAAUACUUGUAUUUGUGUCUGCUUUGAGUUCAAGCCUGACUGGUGAUUGUUCACUAUAUUCUAUCCCUAUUUGGGUCAAUAAAAUAAAAACUAGUUGUUUAGCCUCAUGUCAGUGCUGCCCGUGUGGACCUAUGAUUAAAAAUUUUCCAGUCGUGACCACCUUUAGUGGAAAAGCAUCAUCAUCAUCAUUGUUUAACAUCCGCUUUCCAUGCUAGCAUGGGUUGGACGAUUUUCACUGAGGGCUUGCGAAACAGAUGGCUGCACAAGCCUCCAAUCUUGAUCUGGCAGAGUUUCUACAGCUGGAUGCCCUUCCUAAUGCCAACUACUCAGAGAGUGUAGUGGGUGCUUUUUACGUGCCACCGGCACGGGGCCAAUAAGGCGGUACUGGCAGUGACCUUGCUCGAAUCUUUUUACACAUGCCAGUGAAGCGACGUUGGUAACGAUCACGCUCGAAUAGUGCCUUUUUACAUGCCA